UGCAGUCGAGGGGUUAGUUCUUCGGAAUUAGAGACCGGCGCACGGGUGCGUAACGCGUAUGCAAUCUACCUUUCACAGAGGGAUAGCCCAGAGAAAUUUGGAUUAAUACCUCAUAGUAUUAUGAAAUGGCAUCAUUUUAUAAUUAAAGUCACAACGGUGAAAGAUGAGCAUGCGUCCCAUUAGCUAGUUGGUAAGGUAACGGCUUACCAAGGCUACGAUGGGUAGGGGUCCUGAGAGGGAGAUCCCCCACACUGGUACUGAGACACGGACCAGACUCCUACGGGAGGCAGCAGUGAGGAAUAUUGGACAAUGGGCGCAAGCCUGAUCCAGCCGUGCCGCGUGCAGGAUGACGGUCCUAUGGAUUGUAAACUGCUUUUGCACAGGAAGAAACAACUCUACGUGUAGAGUCUUGACGGUACUGUGAGAAUAAGGAUCGGCUAACUCCGUGCCAGCAGCCGCGGUAAUACGGAGGAUCCAAGCGUUAUCCGGAAUCAUUGGGUUUAAAGGGUCCGUAGGCGGUUUAGUAAGUCAGUGGUGAAAGCCCAUCGCUCAACGGUGGAACGGCCAUUG
rnacentral:rRNA from 1 species